CCAAAUCCAAAGCCUGCAUUUUUCUCGGUUAUUCACCGACUCAAAAUGCCUACAAGUGUUUUGAACCACAAACAAAAAAUUCUUCAUCUCACGCCACGUGUUGUUUGAUGAAAAUCAACAACACUCCAGCCCGUCUCAACCCGUGUCUUCUGUGCCAACCCAAAACAUUCGAGAAUCUCACCAAUUUCUUCCCCUCCUCUUCAGUGCCCAACAGACUGCAGUGUCUUCAUCAACAUUGUCCGGCACGCCAGCAUCAUCGCUACCUUCGGAAGGCUCCCCUGCCAUUGUUGCAUCCUCCCCAGGUACCUUCGGACCCUCUAUUUCUUUACUUCAUGAUUGUUUGCAAGCCAUAGAUCCCAACACCACCCAUCUGAAUCCUCCUCUAGAUGACAAUCGGCAUGUUUCUUCUUUAAAUUUGCAAUCACCAUUUAAUGAUUUUUCUACUGAUACACAUCUAGGUUCAGAUCAUAAUCUCCCAAAUCCGGAUUUAACAAACCCUACCCAAAGAAAUAAUCCUCCCCAAUGCACUCAUAACAUGACCACAAGAUCAAUGAACCAAAUUUUCAAACCCAAACAAAUCCAUACCGUGUCCAAAUAUCCUCUUCCCCAGACCAUAGAACCAACGAGUGUGAGCCAAGCCAUUUCUCAACCUCACUAGCGUGAGGCCAUGUCCAAUGAGCUCACUGCUCUAAUGAAACAUGGGACUUGGGACCUAGUUUUACCACCUUCAAACUGUAAACCCAUGGGCUGUAACUGGGUAUUUCGAGUAAAAAGGAAUGCUGAUGGGUCAGUGGACAGAUUCAAAGCCCAUCUAGUUGCUAAGGGUUACAAUCAACAUUCUGGUGUUGAUUACAAAGAAAUCUUUAGCCUUGUGAUUAAGCCAGCAACUAUUAGAGCUGUAUUAUCUAUUGUAGUCAUGAAUGGAUGGGAAUUGAGGCAAAUGGAUGUCAACAAUGCCUUUCUAAAUGGUGAAUUAAUUGAGACUUUUUUUAUGGCGCAACCCCUGGGGUUCAAAGAUUUGUCCAAACCUAACCAUGUUUGCAGGUUAAAAAAGACGAUCUAUGGGCUCAAACAAGCCCCCCGGGCUUGAUACACAGCACUCAAAAAUGCUAUUCUUCGGUUGGGUUUUCACAAUUCGAAGGCAGACUCCUCUCUCUUCAUUUAUAGUCAAGGAUCAAAUCUUUGUUAUUUUCUGGUUUAUGUUGUUGAUCUUGUCAUUACCGGAAAUAAUUUAACUCUUGUGGCCAACAUUAUUAAGCAGCUGGGUAACGUGUUUUCUCUCAAGGAUACGAGUUCUCUUCAUUUUUUCUUGGGGAUUGAAGUAAUUCCUACUCGGGCAGGAUUAUUUCUCUCACAACAUUAAUAUGUUCGUGAACUUUUACCAAAACAAGUAUGAGUGGUGCGAAAGAUGUCUCAACACCUCUCUCUACAACUCAAUCUCUACAAUUAGUUGAUGGCACUGCUGCUGUGGACAGCUCAGAGUUUCGUAGAAUCAUUGGCAGCCUUCAGUUCCUUUCCUUGACACGUCCAGAUAUCUCAUUUGCAGUCAACAAACUCUCUCAAUUUAUGCAUAAGCCGACUACAAAUCACUGGACAGCAACCAAAAGGCUCCUACACUACUUAAAACAAACUAUUUUUUAUGGUAUUCAAAUCCACAAAGCUGGAACUCCGGUAUUAAGAACAUACUCCGAUGCUGAUUGGGCUGGAAAUGUGGAUGACCGCACGUCAACCUCUGCAUAUAUCAGUUUUUUGGGAUCUAACCCCAUUUCUUGGAGCUCCAAGAAACAAAGAGCAGUUGCACGAUCCACAACAGAGGCUGAAUACCGGGCACUAGCUAAUGCGGCUUCCGAGACAAUGUGGUUGUCCGCUCUUUUCAAAGAACUCGCAUUUCCAGUCAAAGAAUCUCCCCAGCCGUUAUGUGACAAUCUCGGAGCCACACAUCUCAGUUUUAACCCAAUCAAUCAUUCGCGCAUGAAACACAUUCAAAUCGACCUUCACUUUGUACAUGACUUAGUGCAAAAAGAAAGCCUCCAAGUUAGACAUGUACAUAUUCAAGACCAACUAGCUAAUCUAUUAACAAAACCACUGUCAAAACAGCGCACGGAAUUGCUACGUAACAAGAUUAGUCUUGCCGAUGGAAGCUCAAUCUUGCGGGGGCGUAUAAGGGAAGCAUGCAUGGAUUCUACUCAAAUCAAAACAAAGCAUGUCUAGCCUAAAAUCAUGUCAAAUAUUCUGUCAUUAAUUCUAUAUUUAGAGCUUACAAGGGAAGCAUGCGUGGAUUCUACUCAAAUCAAAACAGAGCAUGUCUAGCCUAAAAUCAUGUCAAAUAUUCUGUCAUUAAUUCUAUAUUUGGAGUUGAUUCUAAAUUUGAAUUCUACAGCUGUAUAUUGUAACAGUAGCACAAUUUUAACUUUACUGUUUACAUAUUUCCUAAAUUAGCUUCUCUACCGCUUUGUAUAUAACAUAGUAUUUCUAUCAAUAAAAAGUGUGGGAAAUUAUUCAUUGAAAUCACAGCAAUAUCCACUUUCUUACACCGCUAACGCUGCUCCCACUUGCAAAACGUCGGCGUCGGAGGUGCCAAGGCCACCGGUUUGCCGGUUGUGGAACAUGGACUCUGAGUGGAGUGGUGUAGGUGGAGGACGAAGGGCCGAUGAACGACGUGAGGAGAUCGAGCCAUGACUGUUUGCAUGCGCCGAUAGGCUCCAAUGGGUGUUGAUGGCAGUCCCGGCGCUCAUCACGGAGACAGAUGGGAUGGUGCUCAUCCUAUUCUUGCACUCCUCUUGGAGGGCCAUCAACUUGCUUAAUUCAUGAAGCCUUAGUCCUGGAACCAUGGCCAUGGAAAUAUGUUGCUCCAUAAGUUCAAGGAGAUUAGUGAGAGGAUAGAAAACAAGCCAAUCUUUUGCAUCUCUCGUGGUUCAUCAUCCUGUUGCUGUGUAGAUGAUUUUGUUCUUCUCUUUUCCCCUUUAAUCGGUAUUAGAAUUUAUUGUCUGUAAUAUAAAUGGCAGUGUUUACAUGGGCCAUAAUUCUGAUGUUUCGCCAUGCCUCCACAAUUCCUCGACUCCCCCAUCCUUUCUCUAAGUCUCUGACACUCAUCAUUAUGACCAUUGAUUAUGGGUCGAAGCUAAACCUUUACAGAAGGUUGGUCAUGAGGAAGUAAGACAAUUUAUCAGGGCUAACUUGAUAUAUUGAUUAAUCUUCUUGAACCUAUAGCAA
rnacentral:lncRNA from 1 species